rfam:Triticum aestivum genome assembly, contig: Triticum_aestivum_CS42_TGACv1_scaffold_641167_T_2BS-0.077504_5DL-0.053326
UUUGCAGGAUAAGUGUGUAUCAGUUAAAUGCUUUUGCUAUGCAUUUCUUGCUGAAAGUGCUUCCUGCUAUAUUAAUUUGUGGAAAGUGGGCAGUUGGGUUGAGCUUGAUAAUCUCUUUCGCCAACAAUCAUUUUCCUCUCAUUA